UGGAAGCGUCUGGAAAGGCGCGCGAUACAGGGUGACAGCCCCGUACACAAAAAUGCACAUGCUGUGAGCUCGAUGAGUAGGGCGGGACACGUGGUAUCCUGUCUGAAUAUGGGGGGACCAUCCUCCAAGGCUAAAUACUCCUGACUGACCGAUAGUGAACCAGUACCGUGAGGGAAAGGCGAAAAGAACCCCGGCGAGGGGAGUGAAAAAGAACCUGAAACCGUGU
rnacentral:rRNA from 1 species